UGAGUACGAGAUGCUACGGCAUCGAAGCAGUCUAUGUCAUACUUCCAAGAAAAGCUUGCAAUGUCAUAAACAAAUAAUGCCUGUACCAUAACCGACACAGGUGGGUAGGUAGAGUAUACUAAGGGGCGCGAGAUAACUCUCUCUAAGGAACUCGGCAAAAUGACUCCGUAACUUCGGGAGAAGGAGUGCCUUAUUUUUAUAAGGUUGCAAUAACAAGAUCCAAGCAACUGUUUACCAAAAACACAGGUCUCCGCUAAGUCGUAAGACGAUGCAUGGGGGCUGACGCCUGCCCAGUGCCAGAAGGUUAAAGAAGUUGGUUAGCAUUAGCGAAGCUGAUAACUGAAGCCCUGGUGAACGGCGGCCGUAACAAUAACGGUCCUAAGGUAGCGAAAUUCCUUGUCGGGUAAGUUCCGGCCCGCACGAAAGGCGUAAUGAUUUGGAUACUGUCUCGGAGAGGGGCUCGGUGAAAUAGACUUGUCUGUGAAGAUGCGGACUACCUGCACCUGGACAGAAAGACCCUAUGAAGCUUUACUGUAACUUGAGAUUGAAAUUGGACUUUAUCUGCGCAGUAUAGGUGGGAGACGUUGAAAAUAUUCUUGCGGGAAUAUUGGAGUCAUCAGUGAGAUACCACUCUUAUAAUGUUAGAUUUCUAACUUUGUAUCAUUAUCUGGUCAAAGAACAGUUUCAGGCGGGCAGUUUGACUGGGGCGGUCGCCUCCCAAACGGUAACGGAGGCGCACAAAGGUUUCCUCUGAACGUGUAGAAAUCGUAUCUAGAGUGUAAAGGCAUAAGGAAGCUUGACUGUGAGACCUACAAGUCGAGCAGGGACGAAAGUCGGUCUUAGUGAUCUGACGGUGCUGAGUGGAAAGGCCGUCACUCAACGGAUAAAAGUUACUCUAGGAUAACAGGCUGAUCUCCCCCAAGAGUUCACAUCGACGGUGAGGUUUGGCACCUCGAUGUCGGCUCAUCGCAUCCUGGGGCGGUAGUACGUCCCAAGGGUUGGGCUGUUCGCCCAUGAAAGCGGUACGCGAGCUGGGUUCAGAACGUCGUGAGACAGUUCGGUCCAUAUCCGGUGUAGGCGUUAGAAUAUUGAGAGGAGCCUUCUUUAGUACGAGAGGACCGAGAAGGACAUACCUCUGGUGUACCAGUUAUCGUGCCAACGGUAAACGCUGGGUAGCCAUGUAUGGAGAGGAUAACCGCUGAAAGCAUCUAAGUGGGAAGCCCACCUCAAGAUAAGUAUUCUCU
rnacentral:rRNA from 1 species